GACGAACGCUGGCGGCGUGCUUAACACAUGCAAGUCGAGCGGAAAGGCCCUUCGGGGUACUCGAGCGGCGAACGGGUGAGUAACACGUGAGUAACCUGCCCCAGACUUUGGGAUAACCCUCGGAAACGGGGGCUAAUACCGGAUAUGACACAUGACUGCAUGGUUGUGUGUGGAAAAGUAUUUUUUGGUUUGGGAUGGGCUCGCGGCCUAUCAGCUUGUUGGUGGGGUGAUGGCCUACCAAGGCGAGGACGGGUAGCCGGCCUGAGAGGGCGACCGGCCACACUGGGACUGAGACACGGCCCAGACUCCUACGGGAGGCAGCAGUGGGGAAUAUUGCACAAUGGGCGGAAGCCUGAUGCAGCGACGCCGCGUGA
rnacentral:rRNA from 1 species